ACUCCUACGGGAGGCAGCAGUGAGGAAUAUUGCGCAAUGGAGGCAACUCUGACGCAGCCACGCCGCGUGCCGGAAGACGGUCCUAUGGAUUGUAAACGGCUUUUGCCAGGGAAGAACCAUCUCGAUUCGUCGGGAUCUGACGGUACCUGGUGAAUAAGCACCGGCUAACUCCGUGCCAGCAGCCGCGGUAAUACGGAGGGUGCAAGCGUUGUCCGGAAUCAUUGGGUGUAAAGGGUGCGUAGGCGGGUCUUUAAGUCUGGGGUGAAAUCUUGCGGCUCAACCGUAAAAUGGCCUCGGAUACUGGAGACCUUGAGUGUGACAGAGGGUGGCGGAAUUCGUAGUGUAGCGGUGAAAUGCAUAGAUAUUACGAAGAACACCAGUGGCGUAGGCGGCCACCUGGGUCACAACUGACGCUGAGGCACGAGAGCGUGGGGAGCGAACAGGAUUAGAUACCCGAGUAGUCC
rnacentral:rRNA from 1 species